GGUUUGAAAAGUCAUGGCUCAGAUUGAACGCUGGCGGGAUCCUUUACACAUGCAAGUCGAACGGCAGCACGGACUUCGGUCUGGUGGCGAGUGGCGAGCGGGUGAGCUGUGUAUCAGACGGUGCCUAGUAGCGCGGGGGAUAACUACGCGAAAGCGUAGCUAAUACCGCAUACGCCCUUCGGGGAAAGCGGGGACCUUCCCGGGCCUCGCACUAUUAAACAGCGAUAUCGGUUGGCUAGUUGGUGGGUAGCAGCUCACCAAGGCGACGAUCCGUAGCUGGUUUGAGAGGACGACCAGCCACGCAGGACUGAGACACGGCCCAGACUCCUGCGGGAGGCAGCAGUGGGGAAUUUUGGACAAUGGAAACCCUGAUCAACUGUCACGCGUGUGCGAUGAAGGCCUUCGGGUUGUAAAGCUUUUGGCAGGAAAGAAACAGCGCGGGAUAAUACCCCGUGCAACUGACGGUACUGCAGAAUAAACUUUCGGCUAACUACGUGCAGCGGCCGCGGUAAUACGUAGGGUGCAAGCGUUAAUCGGAAUUACUGGGCGUAAAAGCGUGCGCAGGCGGUUCGGAAAGAAAGAUGUGAAAUCCAGAGCUUAACUUUGGAACUUUGCCAUUUUUAACUGGCUAGAGUGUGUCAGAGGAGGUGGAAUUCCGCGUGUAGCAGUGAAAUGCUGCGUGAAUAUGCGGAGGAACACCGAUGGCGAAGGCAGCCUCCUGGAAAUCAACACUUUGGCGCUGUGCACGAAAGCGUGGGAGCAAACAGGAUUAGAUACCCCUGUGCAGUCCGCUAAACGAUGUCAACUAGCUAUGGCUGGAGCCUUCGGUGCCAAUAGCGCAACUAACGCGUGAGUUGACCGCCUGGGGGAGUACGGUCGCAAGAUUGAAAACUCAAAAGGUCGGCGAGGACCCGCCUGGCUGGUGGAUGAUGUGGAUUAAUUCGAUGCGGCGCGAAGCCUUACCUACCCUUGACAUGUCCUGAUUCGAAGAGAUUUGGAGCGCACUCAACGAGAACCGGAACACAGGUGCUGCAUGGCUGUCGUCGAAGCAUGUGUCGUGAGAUGUUGGGCUAAGUCCCGCAACCUUGCUGAGGCGCAACCCUUGUCAUUGAUUGCCCGCUGCGAAAGGGCACUCUAAUGAGACUGCCGGUAUUGACAAACCGGAGGAAGGUGGGGAUGACGUCAGAUCCUCAUGGCCCUUGCGGGUAGGGCUUCGCGUCUGGCGCGUUCGGGACAGAGGGUCGCCAACCCCUGCGAGAGGGAGCCAAUCCCAGAAACCCGAUGUCAGUCGGAUCACCAGUCUCCAACUCGACUGCGUGAAGUCGAAUCGCUAGUAAUCGCGGAUCGGCUUUCUCGCCGGUGAACCGUUCCCGGGUCUUGUACACACCGCCCCGUCACACCAUGGGAGUGGGUUUUAGAAGUAGUUAGCCUAACCGUAAGGAGGGCGAUUACGUGGUAGGACUGAUGAGGUGAAGUGUAACAAGAAAAAGUGGUAU
rnacentral:rRNA from 1 species